rnacentral:rRNA from 1 species
UACGAAGGGAGCUAGCGUUGUUCGGAAUCACUGGGCGUAAAGCGCACGUAGGCGGAUUUGUCAGUCAGGGGUGAAAUCCCGGGGCUCAACCUCGGAACUGCCUUUGAUACAGCAAGUCUUGAGUUCGAGAGAGGUGGGUGGAAUUCCUAGUGUAGAGGUGAAAUUCGUAGAUAUUAGGAAGAACACCGGCGGCGAAGGCGGCCCACUGGCUCGAUACUGACGCUGAGGUGCGAAAGCGUGGGGAGCAAACAGG